UGUAAGGGUUUUGAUUUAUUUUCUUGCAACGUUUGACCAUUCGUCUUAUUCAAAAAUUUAUGCUAAUAUUAAUUAUUUUUUUAUGACUUACUUUAUUAUCAAAAGUACUCUAAGCACGACUAAUUCUUUUUUAAAUUUACAUAAUUUUUUAAAUAAGACGAAUGGUCAAACGUUACAAGCAAAAAAGUCAAAACUCUUACG
rnacentral:pre_miRNA from 1 species